GCCACCUUCCUAGCAAUUCAUCAGCAAAUGAAAUCCCUGUUCUAGGAAUGUAAAGAGAAGUAAAGAACUAAAGCACCUAUAGCCUUUGACUUUUUUCUUAUCCAAAUGGAAGCUAGAGUUCCAAAAAAAGCUUUGCUCAUUUACUGAUAGGACUGAAUCAGUAGCAUUCAUACUAGCACCAUUAUUGCCACUUAAACAAUGAUCAGAAAAGGAAACACAAGAGACAGCAUUGGAAGAUGAAGACAACUAAAUCCAAGACCAUAUGUUUAAUGAUACAUAUAUGACAAUAAAAUCCUACUUGUUAUUUGAAUAACUAUCGUUAUUUGACAACAAAAUAGACAGCAUUUGUAGUUUACCGAGUAUCGGAGUUUAGUGGGAGCUUCUUCAGCAUUGGGCAUUCUACAAUUGAUAUUUCCUUCAGCUGUGCGAAAGGCAGAGCAUGGCAGUAUAAUGUCAAGGUUGGAAGAAUUUGAGAAAGAAGAAGUUCAGCUAAAGAUGAGUUGAGUAAAGCUGCUGAAAGUGAUGGUGAUGAAGAUGAGCUGACUAAAGCUGGUUUUCAUAGAAAAAAAAAGAUGAAGGUUACAGUUAUCUUGAUCAUGGUCAAAGAUAUUGAGAGGUGUAUGAGUCUGAGUGAAGGAAACAACAACAGCAGUCCGAAGGCAAAGAACCAAUUGAAGAGAUGUCCAAUAAAUAUAAGCAUCAGGAUUUAACUAAUCAGUUUGCUGUAAGUGAUUAAAUCUUUGCAUGCCUUCUUUGUCUUGUGGCCUUUCUUUGAUAAUCCUUCUAACUUAUUGAUAAAUGAAGCCUGAAGUCUGUAUAUUAGAAAUGCAGUCUACUGGAUUGACAGAGGAACCUGUUACCAAAGGUAACUACGAUGGUUAUGUUUCUGACUUAUGGCAUGUGGUCCGAAGAAGGGGAAAGAAAUUCUGUUAUCUACUGAUAGAUGUGAAUAUCAUUUCGUGUUUGAUUUAUAGAUGAGACAAUUCCUUUGUUUUAUCU